GUUAACUCUGCUCCACAUUGACAUCGCUACUAAUUUCUGUUACCCUUGACCCGUGACAUUGAUGUCCUGAAUUUUCAACAGACCUAUGUGAUCUUUCCAGGUGAUAAUGUUGAUUGCUACAGAAGUUCAAGCAGCGCAUCUUGCCGUGGUGUCAAGACAGCUAGUCAUGGGAGUUCAGAACAUAUUCUGUGGUGAUUCUCGGGUUGCUGACACAUGGGUUGAAGAUCUUCAGCACAUCCGAUUGUGUAAUUCUAUUGUAAUUUAUUAUUUCACCACUGUUGUUUUCCUGCUCCUUAUUCCUGGACUUCUUUUUUUGGAAAGGCUAUACACAUCAAUCUAUUCUUGGA